rnacentral:rRNA from 1 species
UAAUACCAGCACCCCGAGUGGUCGGGACGUUUAUUGGGCCUAAAGCAUCCGUAGCCGGUUCUACAAGUCUUCCGUUAAAUCCACCUGCUUAACAGAUGGGCUGCGGAAGGUACUAUAGAGCUAGGAGGCGGGAGAGGCAAGCGGUACUCGAUGGGUAGGGGUAAAAUCCGUUGAUCCAUUGAAGACCACCAGUGGCGAAGGCGG